UGAGGAUGAGGAGGAAGGUUGGCGGGAGCGACUAGCAGGCCGGACCCGCUGCGAAGCGGUGCUGUCGCCCACCGGUCCCUCACGCCAAUUGUCGGGCACCUGCCCGAAGCCAAAGGGGUGCCGCGUCUGCCCCCGAACCGUCUCGGAGCCCGGGCGCGGCGGUACGGCCGGUGCCUGCCUCCGAACGCUGCCCGCUCCGCCGGUCACCGCUCCCGCCAGCAACAAUCGGUUCCCUCCGGGUCUCUCUUGCCCCGCCGCCCUGGCACGGCGCACACCUUCAGGAUUUGGGUCGAAUUCGGCUGGUUUCGGUCUUAUACGACGGCCUCGCAAUAGGGGUCGGGCUUAUGGAAAGCCCUGAUGGGGCAACGUGACGCAAUCCUGACUGCUUGCAAGGACCCCAUUUUCCCCCUAAAGGGACCCAGUUUGCACUGAUGACUGUCCCACGCAGAGGCCUGAUACCAAGGUGAGGGCCUGGGUGAGCACCUUCACUCACUCACAAAAGCUUUCAAUGGGUUUCAAAGGGGAAACUGCCAAAAAAAAAAAAAAAAAAGGAGUUUUCCCCCAGAACUUGUCUCUUUA